rnacentral:rRNA from 1 species
GUCGAGGGGUAACAUAGAAAAGCUUGCUUUUCUGAUGACGACCGGCGCACGGGUGCGUAACGCGUAUACAACCUACCUUUUAGCGGGGAAUAGCCCAGGGAAACUUGGAUUAAUGCCCCAUAGUAUAUAGACUUCUCCUGAAGUUUAUAUUAAACAUUUAUGGCUAUUAGAUGGGUAUGCGUCCUAUUAGUUAGUUGGUAAGGUAACGGCUUACCAAGGCAGCGAUAGGUAGGGGUCCUGAGAGGGAGAUCCCCCACACUGGUACUGAGACACGGACCAGACUCCUACGGGAGGCAGCAGUGAGGAAUAUUGGACAAUGGGCGAGAGCCUGAUCCAGCCAUGCCGCGUGCAGGAAGACUGCCCUAUGGGUUGUAAACUGCUUUUACAGAGGAAGAACCACCCUCACGUGUGGGGGUUUGACGGUACUCUGCGAAUAAGGAUCGGCUAACUCCGUGCCAGCAGCCGCGGUAAUACGGAGGAUCCAAGCGUUAUCCGGAAUCAUUGGGUUUAAAGGGUCCGUAGGCGGGCAGUUAAGUCAGUGGUGAAAGUCUUCCGCUCAACGGGAGAACUGCCAUUGAUACUGAUUGUCUUGAGUUAUUAUGAAGUGGUUAGAAUGAGUAGUGUAGCGGUGAAAUGCAUAGAUAUUACUCAGAAUACCGAUUGCGAAGGCAGAUCACUAAUAAUAUACUGACGCUGAUGGACGAAAGCGUAGGUAGCGAACAGGAUUAGAUACCCUGGUAGUCUACGCCGUAAACGAUGGUUACUAGCUGUUCGGCCCAAUUGAGGGCUGAGUGGUUAAGCGAAAGUGAUAAGUAACCCACCUGGGGGAGUACGUUCGCAAGAAUGAAACUCAAAGGAAUUGACGGGGGGCCCGCACAAGCGGUGGAGCAUGUGGUUUAAUUCGAUGAUACGCGAGGAACCUUACCAGGGCUUAAAUGUAGUCUGACAGGUCUGGAAACAGACUUUUUUUCGGACAGAUUACAAGGUGCUGCAUGGUUGUCGUCAGCUCGUGCCGUGAGGUGUCAGGUUAAGUCCUAUAACCAGCGCAACCCCUGUGGUUAGUUGCCAGCGAGUAAUGUCGGGAACUCUAGCCAGACUGCCGGUGCAAACCGUGAGGAAGGUGGGGAUGACGUCAAAUCAUCACGGCCCUUACGUCCUGGGCCACACACGUGCUACAAUGGUAGGGACAGAGAGCAGCCACUUCGCGAGAAGGAGCGAAUCUACAAACCCUAUCACAGUUCGGAUCGCAGUCUGCAACUCGACUGCGUGAAGCUGGAAUCGCUAGUAAUCGCAUAUCAGCCAUGAUGCGGUGAAUACGUUCCCGGGCCUUGUACACACCGCCCGUCAAGCCAUGGAAGCCGGGGGUACCUGAAGUCGGUCACCGCAAGGAGCCGCCUAGG